rnacentral:rRNA from 1 species
UGGGGAAUUUUGGACAAUGGGCGAAAGCCUGAUCCAGCAAUGCCGCGUGUGUGAAGAAGGCCUUCGGGUUGUAAAGCACUUUUGUCCGGAAAGAAAUGGCUCUGGUUAAUACCUGGGGUCGAUGACGGUACCGGAAGAAUAAGGACCGGCUAACUACGUGCCAGCAGCCGCGGUAAUACGUAGGGUCCAAGCGUUAAUCGGAAUUACUGGGCGUAAAGCGUGCGCAGGCGGUUGUGCAAGACCGAUGUGAAAUCCCCGAGCUUAACUUGGGAAUUGCAUUGGUGACUGCACGGCUAGAGUGUGUCAGAGGGGGGUAGAAUUCCACGUGUAGCAGUGAAAUGCGUAGAGAUGUGGAGGAAUACCGAUGGCGAAGGCAGCCCCCUGGGAUAACACUGACGCUCAUGCACGAAAGCGUGGGGAGCAAACAGGAUUAGAUACCCUGGUAGUCCACGCCCUAAACGAUGUCAACUAGUUGUUGGGGAUUCAUUUCCUUAGUAACGUAGCUAACGCGUGAAGUUGACCGCCUGGGGAGUACGGUCGCAAGAUUAAAAGCUCAAAGGAAUUGACGGGGUCAUAGCUGUUUCCU